AUACGUAAUGUCGGUCCAGGCCGCUUCAUCCAACAAUACCGCCGAACCAAAGUAUGACAUGCUGGUAAGCAGUAUGACUUAUAUCGCCCACAACUCACUUGUGUUCUACUCAUGCAUAUGACAUCUACGCAUAAAAGCAGGCUCGGAUGCCACUGUUGGUGUCACAUCCCUAGUCUGGUAUGACCUAGACUAGCUAGUCAUUGGUGCAUCAUGUUUAAAUCUCAUUUAAAUUUGAAAUGAGGAUUGGUGGAACCCUCAGAAUCAUUUUUGAAAAUGACCCAAAUAAAAAUUUCUCCAAAAGGGUCCAAGAAAAUGCUCAUGUUGCUCUCUGAAAUAUUGGACAGAGAUAAAAAUCAAACCAAUAUUUUUAGGAGCUCAUAGGUAUUUAUUUUGGGCAUUUGGAUUAAUCCGAUAAAUAUUUUCAUUGGAAAUAUAUUAGUUAUAUGUAUUAAUAUAUGUCCAAAAAUUAUGCCAUUUAUAAGGUAGCUCUGGAUUAAUAUAACUAGCUUCCAUAAAAAAUGGCAUAAGUAAAUAAAUUGAUUUAGUAUUAUUACUAAAUCAGAACAAAUGUCAGAAAAUUUAGAAAAAGAAAUAAACAGGAAAACCUUACCUGGGCUUCUGCCUGGCGCCUCUGGCCCAGCAGCAGCAGGCCGGCCCAGCCAGCAGGCGGCCCAGGCCACCUCCUCCUCUGUCGUCUUCGUCCUCGACAGAGGGAGGGGAGCGUGCCCGGCGUGCGCGCGCGCCACCGCGCCACGCCACCUCCCUCCCUGCCUGCCUGCCUCUCCCCUCCUCGUCUGAAUGCCCUGGAACGACGCCACGCGCCACCCCGACCUCUCUCGCACUCUCCCUCGCCCUCCUUCUCUCCCCCUGCUCUCUCUCUCUCCCCCGAGAAUCACCACCGCCGCCGACGAGCAUCACCGUAGCCACCGCCUCCCCCUCGCCUCCCCGACACGCUCCCCAGAUCCGCCGCGACCCCCUCUACCUCCUCGUCGAGCCACGCAAGACGGAGCACCCCGUGGAGCCGUCGCCGUCGCCAACUUCGCCUCCGGCCGCCGUGGAUCCUCGCCGUCGAUUCGGGAGCUACCGGGCAUCCCCGACCUCGCCCUCGCGCUCGCUGGUCUCGAUGUGAGCCCCCGCACCGAACCCCCUCCUCCCCGUGCUCGUUUUCCCCGUCUAGCUAGCUCAACCACCGCGCCCGUAAGUUCCUCGCCGCCGGCCAUGGCGCCACGGUGGCAUGAGCCCAAGCCAGCCACUCCCGCGCGCGUCACCGUGUUCCUGGUGACGCCAGGAGGCCGUAGGAGCCCUCCGCUUCCACUGCCGUGCACCACAACACCGCGGCCGCAAGUCGCCGAGCUCCGGCCGCCGCCGCGAGCUUUGCUCCGGCGAGCUCCGGCGCCCCCGCAGCCCCUCACCAGCUCCCCUGGUUGCGGACGACGACGGGCUACGCCCCGGUGGUCUUCGCGCGACCAAACGCCGCUUGUAGCGCAAGUCCGGCGAGUCGCCGCCGCGCUAUUGGUCGCCGCCGGCCAGAACUCCGGCGGGCUGACGUGGCUCUGUUAAUUAGGCACUAAUCCCCACCUACUGACGCUGACGAGUGGGCCCAGGGCUUAGUCAAAGCUAAUCAGCCAGGUUUGACUCGGGGUUAACCCCAGUGUCACUGACGUGUGGACCCCACACGUCAGGUUUGACCCUGGACAGCCGCGUUGACCCGCUGAUGUAGUGAUGACGUCAUGCUGGCGCAAUAAUAUGAUUUCUGGAUUUAAAUUAAUCAGGAAAUUCGAGAAAUUGAUUUAAACUUCAAAAAUUCAUAGAAAUUCAACCGUAGCUCAGAUUAAAAUAAUUUAUAUAUGAAAAAUUAUCAGAAAAAUGCAAUCUUUCCAUAUGUACUAGUUUCAUGCAUGAAAAACCAACUUAUACAUGCUGUAUAUGAGAAAACACAUUAUGGCAUAUAUAGGAGCUUAUCCUGGAGAUGCAUUUGAACCUUUGGUUCAAAUGGACUUCAAACCAAAUGAUUUCUAGUUGCAUUAGCUCAAACAACAUCACAUCUUUAUGCCAUGUUCAUGCAUCAUAUUGUUGCAUAUGUUUGUGUAUUGAUUGCUGGCACCGUUCCUUCUCGAUAGGUCUUGCUCCGGAGACCGUUCCAGAGUACCUGUCUGUGAAGCAGUGCCUCCUCUGUUGAUUACCAGGCAAGCAAACCCCCUUGUUCAUUCCGAUACAAUCCUACUCUCUCGCUCCUGCUCUCAGUUAUUGCAUUAGGACAACAGCGAUUCAUCUGCUACUUUGUGCUGCGGUAGUUGAACCCAUUCCUCUGCAUGACCUGUCAUUGCCACAGUAAAUAGUUGAAACCCACUAGCAUGUGUAGGAGUUGAUUGAAGCCACUGAUGUGUUCCUACCAUGCUAUGCCUGCUAUUGCUUAGAGUUGUGUCAGGUCUGAUUCAUUGGGAAUGAAUUGGAGUGUUACGAUAUGUUCUGGUGCUGAGAGUUAAGUGUGUGAACACGAUUUGGUAAAGGUAGCGGUGAGAGGCCAUGUAGGAGUACAUGGUGGGUUGUCUCACUGGAUCCGUCCUUAAGCACUGAGUUCUAUGUAUGUUGUCCAAUGACUCGAUACUACCACACAUUGGGCUCCGGGCGCUCCAAGCCCUCUCGACUUAUUAACCAACUUGAUCUCUGUCCAGGAGUCGCAACUAGUUUCUGGUGUUUGUAGGUAGUGUUAGUAGUCUACCAAGUGGCACCCGGCCAGGUGGGCUUGGGAUAGACUAGGCACAAGUGGCACGGUGUACCAAGCAUAGAUCCAUCCGGCGAUGUGGGCUUGGGAACCCUGCACACAUUGUUUGGGGCCGUGAGUGAAACCCCGGCCAGAUCUCCUUGCGGAUGGAACCCGAAUAGGCGAUAAACCUGGAUUAGAGUCUUGUGUGGUUAGUCAGGUCGUGGCCGACACCCUCGCCAGGCUUCCGCUUGAAGGUUGCCGAGAUACAUGACGUGUACAUGGCGGUAAGUGGCGAGAGCGUGUGUGAAGAAGUACACCCCUGCAGGGUUAACAUGAUCUAUUCGAAUAGCCGGGUCCGCGGUUAUGGACUUCUUGGAUGCUUACAUGGUACAUAGACAACUUGAAGUGGAUACCCUAAAAUGCUCAAGACAAGUGUGAGUGCUAUGGAUGGCCUUCUCGUAGGGAGACGGGGAUGAAUCCAUAGUAGUGUAUUGUGUGGUGAUUAGUGGACUCGUGUGCGCCAUAUCACCUCAAGAGUUUCUGGUGGUCAUAGAACAGGAUAGCCACAGAGUCAAAGCUGGCUUGCUCCAACUAAACCCCACAUUACCCUCUUGAUACAAAUGCAUGUAUGAUAGGAUCUGAUGUAAGUCUUGCUGAGUACCUUUGUACUCAUGUUGCUUUAUUUAUGUUUUUGCAGUGGAGACUUCGGUCUUACUAGUGUUCUCAUGGACUUCGACUAGUAGCUAGUACCUCAGCUACGAUCUUGAUCGGAUGUUGUAGACAGUCAGGCUUUCAGCCUUUUUCAUUUAUAGAUGUCUGUACUCAGACAUGUAAUGCUUCCGUUUGUUGCUUGAUUGCUCUGACUGUUGGGUCAUGUGACCCCUGUUUGUAAUAAUGCUAUGAUGGCUCUUCUGAGCCUUUAUCUAUAUGAGUUGUUGAGUUAUGCUGUGAUGCCAUGUUGUACAGCACAUGCUUGCAUGUUAUGCGUACGUGUAAUGUGUAUUGCUAUGUGUGGGAUCUGACUAUCUAGUUGUUUAUCCUUAGUAGUCUCUCUUACCGGGAAAUGUCUCCUAGUGCUUCCACUGAGCCCUGGUAGCUUGUUACUGCUCCGGAACACUUAGGCUGGCCGGCAUGUGUCCUUCUUCGUUCCUGUGUCUAUCCCCUCGGGGAAAUGUCACGCGAUGAAUACCGGAGCCCUGUUAGCCCGCUACAGCCCGGUUCACCGGAGUCCUGUUAGCCCAGUGCUACAGUCUGGAUUCACUCGCUGAUGACCGACACGUUCGAUGUUGGGUCAUGGAUGCCUGUCCCUGUAAGUUAGUGCCACUUUGGGUUUACGACUAGCCAUGUCAGCCCGGGCUCCUUAUCAUAUGGAUGCUAGAGACACUGUCAUAUUCGUGUGUCAAAAGGCGCAAACGGUCUCGGGCAAAGGUAAGGCGACACCCGUGGGGAUACCGUGCGUGAGGCCGCAAAGUGAUAUGAGGUGCUACAUGCUAGAUCGAUGUGGCAUUGAGUCGGGGUCCUGACAGUUGGGGAACGUAGUAAUUUCAAAAAAAAUCCUACGCACACGCAAGAUCAUGGUGAUGCAUAGCAAUGAGAGGGGAGAGUGUUGUGUACGUACCCUUGUAGACUGAAAGCGGAAGCGUUAGCACAACAUGGUUGAUGUAGCCGUACGUCUUCACGAUCCGACCGAUCAAGUACCGAACGUACGGCACCUUCGAGUUCACCACAUGUUCAGCCCGAUGACGUCCCUCGAACUCCAAUCCAGCCGAGUGUUGAGGGAGAGUUUCGUCAGCACGAUGGUGUGGUGAUGAUGUUGAUGUUCUACUGACGCAGGGCUUCGCCUAAGCACCGCUACAGUAUUAUCAAGGUGGACUUUUGGUGGAGGGGGGCACCGCACACGGCUAAGAGAUCAAUGAUCUGAAGUUGUGUCACUAGGGUGCCCCCCUGCCCCUGUAUAUAAAGGAGCAAGGGGGUGCGGCCGGCCAGGGCUAGGCGCGCUAGGAGGAGUCCUACUCCCACCGGGAGUAGGACUCCCCCCCCCCUGAGGGAGUCCUGGAUUAGGGGGUGUUCGGAUAGCCGAACUAUACCCGUGUCUAGAAGGGACUUUCCUUGGCGUGGAAGGCAAGCUUGGCGAUACGGAUGUUCAGAUCUGCUACCAUUGUAACCGACUCUAUGUAACCCUAACCCUCUCUGGUGUCUAUAUAAACCGGGGGGGGGGGGGUUUAGUCCAUAGGACAACAUACACAUCAACAAUCAUACAAUAGGCUAGCUUCUAGGGUUUAGCCUCUCUGAUCUCGUGGUAGAUCUACUCUUGUACUACCCAUAUCAUCAAUAUUAAUCAAGCAGGACGUUGGGUUUUACCUCCGUCGAGAGGGCCCGAACCUGGGUAACUCUUCGUGUCCCUUGCCUCCUAUUACCAUCCGGCCUAGACGCACAGUUCGGGACCCCCUACCCGAGAUCCGUCGGUUUUGACACUGACACCCCCUUUCCUAUUUGGAUUAGGACUUGAGGGGGAAGAAGGAAAGAGGGGGGCCGACCCCCUUGCCCUAAACCAAUUCGGUUUGGGCCUAGGGGGGCCGCCCCAUACUCCUCUUGCUGCCCUCCUUUUCCACUAACACCCAUGUAGGCCCAUUAAGCUCCCGGGGGGUUCCGGUAACCUCCCGGUAGUCCGGUAAAAUCCCAAUUUCACCCGGAACACUUCUGAUAUCCAAAUAUAGGCUUCCAAUAUAUCAAUCUUCAUGUCUUGACCAUUUCGAGACUCCUCAUCAUGUCCGUGAUCACAUCCGGGACUCCGAACAACCUUCGGUACAUCAAAACAUAUAAACUCACAAUAAAAUUGUCAUCGUAAUGUUAAGCCUGCGGACCCUAUGGGUUCGAGAACUAUGUAGACAUGACCGAGACACGUCUCCGAUAAAUAACCAAUAGCGGAACCUGGAUGCUCAUAUUGGCUCCUACAUAUUCUACGAAGAUCUUUAUCGGUCAAACCGCAUAACAACAUACGUUGUUCCCUUUGUCAUCAGUAUGUUACUUGCCCGAGAUUCGGUCGUCGAUAUCUCAAUACCUAGUUCAAUCUCGUUACCGGCAAGUCUCUUUACUCGUUCCGUAAUACAUCAUCCCGCAACUAACUCAUUAGUUGCAAUGCUUGCAAGGCUUAAGUGAUGUGCAUUACCAAGAGGGCCCAGAGAUAUCUCUCCGACAAUUAGAGUGACAAAUCCUAAUUUUGAAAUAUGCCAACCCAACAAGUACCUUCAGAGACACCUGUAGAGCACCUUUAUAAUCACCCAGUUACAUUGUGACGUUUGGUGGCACACAAAGUGUUCCUUCGGUAAAUGGGAGUUGCAUAAUCUCAUAGUCAUAGGAACAUUUAUAAAUCAUGAAGAAAGCAAUAGCAACAAACUAAACGAUCAAGUGCUAAGCUAAUGGAAUGGGUCAAGUUUAUCACAUCAUUCUCCUAAUGAUGUGAUUCCGUUAAUCAAAUGACAACUCAUGUCUAUGGUUAAGAAACUUAACCAUAUUUGAUCAACGAGCGAGUCAAGUAGAGGCAUACUAGUGACACUCUGUUUGUCUAUGUAUUCACACAUGUAUUAUGUUUCCGGUUAAUACAAUUCUAGCAUGAAUAAUAAACAUUUAUCAUGAUAUAAGGAAAUAAAUAAUAACUUUAUUAUUGCCUCUAGGGCAUAUUUCCUUCACUUGAAACUAGUGGUUUUAUUCACCAUCAACACUUGAUGUUCCUUUUUGAUUUCCUCCUCCGCUGAUUUCAGCAUUGAAUAUAACUCAGGAAUGGACUUCUCCAUCCCUUGCAUAUUGUAGUUCAUCACAAAGCUCUUAUAGCUAGGUGGAAGCGACUGGAGGAUCCUAUCAAUGAUAGAGUCAUCUGGUACAUUAACUCCAAGCUGAGACAAGCGGUUGUGCAACCCAGACAUUUAGAGUAUAUGCUUGCUGACAGAACUGUUUUCCUCCAUCUUACAACUGUAGAACUUGUCAGAGACUUCAUAUAUCUUGACCCAGUCAUGUGCUUGGAAAAUCAUUUUCAGCUGUUGGAACAUCUCAUAUGCUCCGUGCUGCUCAAAACGCUUUUGGAGCCCCGGUUCUAAGCUGUAAAGCAUGCCGCACUGAACCAGGGAGUAAUCAUCACUACACGACUGCUAGGCGUUCAUAACGUCUUGAGUUGCUGGGAAAAUGGGUGCGUCACCUAGCGGUGCUAUAAGGACAUAUGCUUUCUUGGCAGCUGUGAGGAUGAUCCUCAAGUUACGGACCUGAUACGUCUCCAUCGUAUCUACUUUUCCAAACACUUUUGCCCUUGUUUUGGACUCUAACUUGCAUGAUUUGAAUGGAACUAACCCAAACUGAUGUUGUUUUCAGCAGAAUUGCCAUGGUGUUAUUUAUGUGCAGAAACAAAAGUUCUCGGAAUGACCUGAAACUUCACGGAACAUCUUUUCGGAAAUAAUAAAAAAUCAUUGCAAAAGAUGAAGACGACGGGCCCACCACCUGUCCACGAGGGUGGAGGGCGCCCCCCUACCUCGUGGGCCCCCUCGAGCUCCUCCGACCUCAACUCCAACUCUAUAUGAUCUGGAGUCCGUUCGGGGCUCCGGAGAGGGGAAUCCGUCGGCAUCGUCAUCAUCAACCAUCCUCCAUCACCAAUUUCAUGAUGCUCACCGUCGUGUGUGAGUAAUUCCAUCGUAGGCUUGCUGGACGGUGAUGGGUUGGAUGAGAUCUAUCAUGUAAUCGAGUUAGUUUUGUUAGGGUUUGACCCCUAGUGUCCAGUAUGUUCUUAGAUUGUUGUUGCUAUGACUUUGCUAUGCUUUAUGAUUGCCACUAGGGCCCGAGUGCCAUGAUUUCAGAUCUGAACCUAUUGUGUUUUUAUCAAUAUAUGAGUGUUCUAGAUCCUAUCUUGCAAGUCUAUAGUCACCUACUAUGUGUUAUGAUCCGGCAACCCCGAAGUGACAAUAAUCGGACAACUCCCGGUGAUGACCAUAGUUUGAGGAGUUCAUGUAUUCACUAUGUGCUAAUGCUUUGUUCCGGUACUCUAUUAAAAAUAGGCCUUAAUAUCCCUUAGUUUCCAUUAGGACCCCACUGCCACGGGAGGGUAGGAUAAAAUAUGUCAUGCAAGUUCUUUUCCAUAAGCACGUAUGACUAUAUUCGGAAUACAUGCCUACAUUAUAUUAAUGAAUUGGAGCUAGUUCUGUGUCAACCUAUGUUAUGAUUGUUGCAUGAUGAACCGCAUCUGGCAUAAUUCUCCAUCAACGAUCCAUUGCCUACUAGCUUUCCACAUAUUGUUCUUCGCUUAUUUACUUUUCCAUUGCUAUUGCUAUCAUCACUACAAAAUACCAAAAACAUCACUUUUGCUAUGGUUACCUUUUGCUACCGUUACCACUACUAUCAUAUUACUUUGCUACUAAAUACUUUGCUGCAGAUACUAAGUUUCUAGUUGUGGCUGAAUUGACAACUCAGCUGCUAAUACUUGAGAAUAUUCUUUGGCUCCCCUUCUGUCGAAUCAAUAAAUUUGGGUUGAAUACUUUACCCUCGAAAACUGUUGCGAUCACCUAUACUUGUGGGUUAUCAAGACUAUUUUCUGGCGCCGUUGCCGGGGAGCAUAGCUUUGUUCUUUGAGUCACUUGAUAUUUAUAUAUGCUUAUCAUUAUGAAGAACUUGAGAGAUACAAAAACCAAGAUUUAUCCCUCAACUACGAGGGGAGGUAAGGAACUGCCAUCUAGCUCUGCACUUGAUUCACCUUCUGUUUUAGUAAGCUUUCGACACCUAAACCUGCUUCUGCUAUCCAUUCUGAUAUGUCUCAUGUUAUUGAUGAUGCCACUUCUGCUAUGAAUGAUACUUAUGAUGAAACUACUUCUAUGCUUGAUACUACUAUGCCACUUGGUGAAUUUCUUGAUGAACAACUUGCUAGGGUUAGAGAGACUAAGAAUAUUGAAUCUGAUAAUAUUAAUGCAAGUGAUGAUGAAGACUCUUCCCCUAAUAAUGAACCACUUGUUAUUCCUGAGGGUUAUUUAUUUGAUCAAGGAGCUUCUUUAGCUAUUUUAUCUUGCAAAGACAAAUAUGAACUUAAGAAGUUAUUAGCUAAAUGGAAUAAGCAAUCUCUAAAUACUAGAAUAAAACCUGACCCUGCUUUUGCUACUUCACCUAUCUUUGUUACCGAUAAGGAUUAUGAAUUCUCUGUUAAUCCUAAUAUAAUUACUUUGGUUGAAUCUUAUCCUUUUCAUGGCUAUGAAUUUGAAACUGUUGUGGCACAUCUUACUAAAUUGAAUGAUAUAGCUACCCUGUUCACCAAUGAUGAGAGAACUCGCUACUUUUAUAUCCUUAAAAUAUUUCCAUUCUCAUUAAAGGGUGAUGCUAAGAUAUGGUUUAGUUCUCUGGGUCCUGGUUCUGUGCGUAGUCCCCAGGAUAUGAUUUAUUACUUCUCUGCUAAAUAUUUCCCUGCUCAUAAGAAACAAGCUGCUUUAAGGGAUAUAUCUAAUUUUGUGCAAAUUGAAGAAGAGAGUCUCCCACAAGCUUGGGGGAGGCUUCUCCAAUUACUUAAUGCUUUGCCUGAUCAUCCUGUUAAGAAAAAUGAAAUACAUGGUGUCUUUUAUAAUGGACUAACCGAUGCAUCCAUAGAUUACCUGGAUAGUUGUGUUGGUUCUGUUUUCAGAGAAAGAACGCCGGAUGAAGCUGAAAUUCUAUUGAAUAAUAUGUUGACAAAUGAAAAUAAUUGGACACUUCCCGAGCCUAUUCCUAAACCAACUCCGAAGAAAAGAGGUGUUCUAUUCCUCAGUCCUGAAGAUAUGCAAGAGGCAAAGAAAUCUAUGAAAGAAAAGGGUAUUAAAGCUGAAGAUAUUAAGAAUUUACCUCCUAUUGAAGAAAUACACGGUCUUAAUUUACCGCAUGUUGAAGAAACUAUUGGUCUUGAUAACCCAACACAGGUAGUAAAGGUAAAUUCUCUGUAUAGAUAUGAUAAAGCUGAAAUCCCGUUUACUAAAUUCACUACCCCAUGCUUAGAUGAGUUUGAUAAAUUUAUGGCUAAGAAAGAAGAUUUUAAUGCUUAUUUUGGUAGGCAAUUGAAAUACAAUUCAAACAUGCUUGAACACUUGGGUGAUUAUAUGGCUAAUGUCAAAGGUGGAUUUAAACUUAUUAGUAAACAUGCUUCUAUGGUUACCACUCUAGUAGAACAAGUACUUAAAGCUCAAAAUGAUUUGCUCAAUGAAUUGAAUAGUAAGAAUAAUGAUAACGUUGUUAGAGUUAUGACUAGAGGUGGUAGAAUGACUCAGGAACCUUUGUAUCCUGAAGGCCAUCCUAAGAGAAUUGAGCAAGAUUCUCAGAGAAAUAAUAUAGAUGCACCUAGUCCUUCUAAAAGGAAGAAAAAGAAAAAUGAUAAGACUUUGCAUGCUUCUAGUGAACCUAUUACUGAAACACCUGAGAAUCCAAAUUAUAUUUCUAUUUCUAAUGCUGAAACACAAUCUGGUAAUGAACCUAAAACUAGUGAUAAUGUUAAUAAUAAUGUUCAUGAUGAUGCUGAACCUAGUAAUGAUAAUAAUAUAGAAAUUGAACAUGUUGUUGAUCUUGAUAACCCACAAUGAAAGAAUCAACGUUAUGAUAAGAAAGACUUUGUUGCUAGGAAACACGGUAAGGAAAGAGAGACCUGAGUUCAGAAACCCAUGCCUUUCUCUCCCAAACCAUCCAAGAAAAAGGAUGAUGAGGAUUUUGAGAGCUUUGCUGAAAUGAUUAGACCAAUCUUUUUGCGUAUGCGGUUAACUGAUAUGAUCAAAAUGAAUCCUUAUGCUAAGUACAUGAAAGAAAUUGUUACUAAUAAAAGAAAGAUACCUGAAGCUGAAAUUUCCACCAUGCUUGCUAAGUAUACUUUUAAGGGUGGAAUACCAAAGAAACUUGGAGAUCCAGGAGUUCCCACUAUACCAUGCUCCAUUAAAAGAAAUUAUGUUAAAACUGCUUUAUGUGAUCUUGGAGCCGGUGUUAGUGUUAUGCCUCUCUCUUUAUACCGUAGACUUGAUUUGAAUAAAUUGACACCUACUGAAACUAGUAGAGUGCCCGUGCAUUGCCACGGGCUCUUGAAAUAGUUUGCAAGAUUUACAUGUUAAAUUUCACAUGUACAAACAAUAUAACACAAACAUAAUUAAUGAAUAAUUGAAGUCCAUUUUUGCAAUGUAAAUUGAUAAGAAAAAGAAAAAUUAACAGCAUGUCCAUGUAACAAACUAAGCGAUGUUCCAACUAAACAUCUAUUACAAAACUAUUAAUAUCUAGAUGAUGCGCUUAAGAAAUUCUUUCACAAUGUUAGGAAAGUUGCCUUUAGCUUCAUUCCCACGAUGUUUUAGCAAGUAUAAUAAAAACCGCUUCCUCAACUCAUACCUAUCCUACACAAACAAUAUAUGUAAUUAGUAUGAAAAUUUCACACCAAAGGUGUAACGGAUGCGUUGCCACUGGCAUUUCGAACAAAAAAUACUGGUUGCAUAUAUAAUCAUAAGACAUGUCAAUUUUCCAACUUGGCAUAGCAAGUGAGUCUAAAAUUUCAAGACUUGCAAUAUCAUUGUCCUUGUUGAUUCAAAAUAGGCACUAUAAAUCUCCUAAAAAAUAGGCACUAUGAAUCUGCAAAAAAAACCAUCCUAAACUCUGUACUUAAUCCGAAGAAAUAGUUGCUUUGUUAUUCUGAUAAUCUUGCUUGUACAAUUAUGAUAGUUACCAUAAUCACCUAGGAGUUUUAAUUUUUGAAAGGAAAAAACAACAACAAUCAUUAGGCCCUUAAGAGAUCAUGACAUGAUUCUGAGUCUGACCAGCUACAAGAUAUAUCCUUCCUGAUAUUCAGAUCUAGUGGGAAAAACUACUACCCAACAAUAUACAUAUAAUAUAAUUGAAAAUGUUUACUGCAUUCGCUAAAUAAUCAUGGGAACAAAAAAUGACUUGGGGCUUCAAGAUCGAAAAGUAUAUACACAGGCUCGAUGCGACGAAGCUAGCAAAGAACAUUGAGAUGGUUUCAAUGUAGGAUUUGUCUCGAUUUUAAGGGACUUUCACGUGCCCAAAUCGCCCCCAUCUUUGUCAGCCACACCUAAUAGAAGCAACAUAAAUGGCUAUGCUGUUUUCGAGAACCUUCGCUAGAACAAUCACAGGAGAACACCUGGCAACAACGUAAUGGCACGAGAGCUUACUACUGCCCUCACACAGAAAUUGCAAAUCGCGGCAAUCAAAAUGGGAGACUUAAUGUGCCGACGUGAGAAUCUCUCUGGUAACAAAGGUGAAAAGGUGGGGAUGUAGUCAGUUCAUUGUUAGACUCAUUAACAAUAACAGUGAUGGGUAAAAAGAGAGGCCACCUAUAGUCCCCAUCUCUAUCUGAUUUACCUGAACAAAGGCUACAUAAGAAAAUAUACCAACCCAGAACCAAUGUGCACCAGCUUCGUACAGAGUUUCUAAAAAUGUAGAGUAGAAAGAAAAGCAGAUUGUCAUAUACCAAUCAACGUUUCAUUCUUAAUUUGCAUGGGAUCUCCAUUGCCUACGCUGCCCUUCAUCACUCCCAACGGCCUCGCUCCACCUCCACGACACCUCGGAUGACCGCCGCACAGUGUCGCACCACGGAUGAUGCUCCACCUUCCGCAUCCUACCUCUGGUCCCUGCUCCAUGCUCGCUCAUGCCCUAUGGCCUCCGCCGCGCUCGCGCUGCUGAGCCACCUCCACCCCUGUCUGAUCUCUUCCUCUCUCUCGAUCUAGCGAGAUCAUGGCUGGAAAGUCAAAGGCCUCUCUCCUUCUCGAUUUACUGAUCCCAUGGCCUGAAAGUCUGACAACGUAUUUGGAUUGAAGCCAGACUUUAACUGAUGGAUUCCCUAACUUUUCUUUGAGUUAUAAAACCCUAGGCCCGCAUGAUUAACUAAAAUGCCCCAUUACUUAACCCCAGGCCACGGGCCUUUUGUUGUAUAAAUCUCUGUGAAUUUUUUACCUCUUUCAGCGACAUCACCUCUACACCAAUGUCACAUAUGGAAUUUUUUUGAAUGUCGAGAUAAUCCAUCUUUAUCUCUCUUAUACACUACAAAAAUAAAUAAAUAUAUUAAGAAUAUAUAAACACACCUUUUGUAUUAUCAUGCGUAACAAAUAUAUUAAGAACCAUUAUUUGUAUGCAUCUCUUAUGAUUGUUAAAACUCGAUACUUUUUUGGUCCAUUCCAUUCUAAACAUGACUUGUUAGUGUAUCUGAUGUUUUCCCUCAGCAGAAAAAAGGGUAUCUGAUGUUUUCAACUAUAUUAAAAUAUGUGACAUUUUUCUCACACCAAACUACCGCUUUCCCUAUAUCACUAUAUAAAAGUAUGUGACAUUUCUCUCAUAGCAGUCAAACGUUUUCCCUAAAAAAGUGUCGCUCCUUUUCUUUUUAUUCUAAAAGAGCAAUUCACUCUCUCCUUCUCUCAUCGCAUGGCACAACGCUCACCCUCAUAUCGCAUUCCACAACAAUGCUCAAACUCAUACCUGAUCCCCCUAGCUUCUCUCCUCCCUGAUGUUGUUGGCAUCAAGGAACGCCACGAAAUUCCAGCGUCGUGUCUCCUUCUGUCCAUAGUGUUGCCCUCCCCCUCUACGCCAUCCUAGUGCAAUUUCCCAGUGCCAUGGAAUGUAUGCCGUCAUCCAACGGCGACCACCACAGCGUGUUUUGUUACCAUGAUAUAUGAAAUGGUAUAUAUCACGUGAUCCUUACGCCUCCUCUCAAUGCACACAUGAAGUACGGUCUACUAUUUGAUUCGUAAUAUUUUCAUGUUUAUAGCCGAUCACAAUUUCAUACACAUAUCCGCCAUGGGGUGUAAGAAGGCAAUUAGAAAGUUACCAAACGGACCAAAAGUGAAUUUAUUCGCGUAUUCAAAAAAUAAAAAAUCAGGAUUCGUGAUUGGAUUGAUGAUAUUGGAAUUUAAUUAUGAUGCCAUCUCUUUGUAGCAAGAAAAAUCAAGAUUUCACCUUGUUAUUCUAGUGACAUAUGUGUUUGGAAGUAAGCUACUUCUUCAGGUCAACAAAGAGUAAGCUGAUAAUAAAAAGAGUAUGAUGUCUCUCAUUUACAAGGUGAAUGUGGGCAUGUGCUUGUUCAUAUGAAGGUGAGUUUGCUUCCCAUUUAUGGUCUUAAGCUGGAGAGUAGAGGAACUGAGAUAGACAUGUCUGAUUGUGGACAUGUUUUCUAUUCCGGCAAUUUCAGUGGCAUAUUGCCAGGCUAUGACAGUGGGCUACCAUGGGCGCAGCUCACCCCAUUCUCAAAAUAAUUAUGCAAAUCUCAGAUGGUAAAGUCCAAGGAUGCCCAAAAAUCUAUAGUGGAAGUGAAAUAAUGCUAUUGUUUUACCUUUGAAAGGGUAGCCUGGCAAUAUGAUAAUCUAAACUUUAACAUUAGACACUUACACGCACCCUGGGUACUGGUCAUCAAUAAAUUUUCUCCGGUCAAUAGUCAGUAGUUCAACUAUCCAGAAAGCAUAAUUAUUAGAGGAUUAGAGCGAACAAACACGGAUUAGUUGAUCAUACUCGAUUAUUAGAGGAGUUGGGCAGGAAAUCAAGUGACCAAACCUGAACUGCAAGCAAACCCAUAAAGCAUGGCUUGUCAAAGAGGUGAGUGUCGGUGCCAAAUGCUUCAUGUCAUCCUGUACAAGUUCGAGAAAUAAGCAACUCUGAACUCCAUUGAAGACAUCCUUUUAAAAUAUUAAAACGGAUGACACAACACAUAUUCAGUGUUAUUUGUGAGGCUACCUUUUUCUAGGAAUGGAUCAGAGAAUUUCUAGCUUCCCAUAUACAUCAGUGCAAAUUAAUCCCAGGAAAAGCAAGUGAGGGUACCUUUUUGUGUGAAGGUAGUGAAGGCAUCAAGCUAAGUGCAACAAAUUUUUCCUCGACCACGCACACAUAUAUUCCUUUAUGUAUUGAUGAACUAACAUGCACCACAUAUCUCCUAUCUAAAUUUUACGGCUCGUCAUCUAUAUCUCUACUACCUAAAAUCACUCUAGCCAUCUGAAAUUAGAUGUCAAUAACCAGUUGACUUGCAUCAGAAGUCUACCGUGAUACAUACAAUUUAUAGUAAAUUUUACAUGAAGCAAACCCCAAUUACAUGGAAAAAGGAACAUUACUUCUAAGAGUACAUGAAUUAGUAACACACAAUUUUCUUUGUCUGGUAAAACAUGUAUUCAACCAGUUGGAACCGGGACCAAGACGAUUACAGACUACAGACUACAAACGUCACUUAUCACCCACCAAGUCUUGAAAACUUUGGAUAUAAGUAGUAUGAACUUUAAGGGGCC
rnacentral:lncRNA from 1 species